UGUUGAGUAAGUUUCUAAACUACAAUUUUCAUUGAGCAAGUUAAUUAAUCUUUACUCAUUCAUUACAAGAGAGGUUGUUUUGUUUAUUCAAAGUCUGUACUAUUGUUUAAAACUUGAUCUUGUUGAAAAAUAUUUGUUCAGCUAAAAACAUUUGACUCAAGACCUCCACCCUGGCGGGGGGUUCCUUCUCACAAAGCCCGCCCCAGCGGGCAUACCUUCUGCAAUUGCACUUGAAUUUUCCCAUUCUUUGCAUCUAUACGCUUCUUAAGUACCUGAAGCAUCAUUAAAAUAUGAAUAUAAGUCAAUAUUGAGCAAAUUAAGCAUGUAAGGUCAGACUAUCUAAAAAGCAUAAUUUAACUAACUACUUAAUGAAUUGAAAUGAAUUUAUUCUAUACUAACGAAUAUACUAAAAUACAAUUUAAUUAACAUGAAUAAAAAUACUAAGAAUAAAAGUAAAAUUGGGUUGCCUCCCAAUUAGCGCUUGAUUUUAAGUCUUUCAGCCGGACUACUCCCUAUUUUAUCCUGGAUCGGUUGGCCUAUCCGCGACAUGUCUUUUGUUUAUAUCACAUAACCAAUAUUGUUGUAUUGCAUGCCCAUUCACUUGUAUAGUUGGGAAUGAAUUUGACUUACUAUCUUCGAUCAAAGCUUUUAGACCACCAACCUCUUUGCAAUCUUUGUACUUUACAUGUAUAGACACUUCGUUCACCUCCCUUUCCUCCUUGUAAGUAGGAAUUGGAAUUUCCUUGAAUACUUUCACUGUAACUACUUGAUCGAACACUUUCAUAAUCAAUUCUCUGUUAGGCACAUCAAUCAGUGUUCGUCUAGUUGCAAGGAAUGGGCGUCCCAAGAUGAUAGGGAUAUUCUUAUCUUCUUCAAAGUUUAGCACCACAGAGUCAGCUGGGAAGAUCAAAGUAUCCACUUUUACCGACACAUCUUCAACUAUCCCCAAUAGAUAUGUUAAUGAUCUAUCCACAAGCUGUAGAAUGAUAUUUGUCAGCUUUACUUCUUUUAACCCUAGAUUUUUGUAUAUGGAUAGUGGCAUGAGGUUUAUGCUUGCACUAAGAUCACAUAGGGCUCUCCCCACAUCUUGAUUGCCAAUCGUACACGAAAUUGUGAAGCUCCCCGAAUCUUUCAAUUUAGGAGGAAGCUUUUUCUGCAGAAUUGCACUGCAUUCUUCAGUCAGCGCCACUGUUUCGAACUCCUUGAGCCUUUAUUUCUUUGAAAGUAUCUCUUUCAUGAACUUGACAUAACGUGGCAUCUGCUCAAGUGCUUCGGUGAAUGGAAUGUUGAUGUGCAAUUGCUUAAAUAUAUCCAUAAACCUUGAAAACUGGUCCUUUAGCUUUUGACUUUCCAACCUUUGGGGAAAAGGUAACGGGGGUGUAAUUAUCUUCUGUUUAUCUUCCUUCGGCUUUUCCACAGAUUUUUCCUUGGUUUUCCUUGUCAAAUCAUUCUCUUCGUUCUCACAAACAUCUUAUGUACUUGCUUUCCCAUCACGGUCGGUACCCAAAGCUUUACCACUCCUCAGUGUAAUCGCAUUACAUUGCUCGUGAUUUCCUCUCGGAUUCUUUUCUGUAUUGCUCGGCAAUUUCCCUUGAGGCCUAUUGUUCAGGGACAAUGCAAGUUAUCUCAUCUGAUUUUCCAAGUUUAUGAUGGCUAUUGCUUGUGAUUUCAUAGCCACCCCGUUGCUCGUUAUAUAUUUUGACAAUAACUCUUCUAAAUCUAUUUUUCUCUCUUGAUGUUGAGCUGUUUGUUGAUGUUGAUUCUGAAAUCCUGGGGGAUAAGAUGGUCAUGGAGCUUGCUGAUUCUGAUUAUUACUCCACGAAAAAUUAGGCUAAUUCCUAUUCCCCGGAUUGUAUGCAUUCUGAUACAUGUUCUAUGGAAUCAUGUUGUAGCUACCCACAAAUUGUACUGACACUGGGUUGAUUGCACAUUGUUCCGUAAGAUGUUCUCCCACGCACAAUUCACAAAUAACUGCAAUCUGCUGAGUUUGUACACCCGAUAAAGCAUCCACCUUCUUUGAUAGCGCUGAAAUCUGUCCUGCUAAUGUCGUCACCCCAUCUACCUCUAAUACUCCAGCUACCUUAGGUUGUUUCAUUCUUGUUGUGGGACACUGGUAGUUAUUAGCCGCCAUUAUCUCUAUCGACUCGUACGCCUCCUCGUAACUCUUUGCCAUAAAAUCUCCACCCGAAGCUGCAUCUAUACUAGUCCUAAGAUUCCCAUGUAACCCAUUGUAGAAUGUGUUCAUUUGUAGCCAUUUAGGUAAUCCAUGAUGUGGGCACUUUCUGAGUAAUUCCUUGUAUCUCUCCCAUGCCUCAUACAAUGAUUCCCCAUGCUGCUGUUCAAACAUGGUAAUCUUGUUUCUCAUUUUUGCAGUCUUUAUUGGUGGAAAAAAUUAAGCUAAGAAUUUUUUAGCGAGGUCUUCCCAUGUAGUUAUUGAUCCCGGCAGUAGAGAGUGUAGCCAACUCUUCUCCUUGUCCUGCAAAGUGAAUGGGAACAAGCGAAGUCUGACUGUGUCAUCCGACACCCCAUUGUAUCUGAAAGUGUCACAUAUCUCUGAAAAGCUGACCAAAUGUUCAUUCGAAUAGUCAGUUGCAAGUCCCCCAAACUGAACCGAGUUUUGGAUCAUCUGAAUAGUCCCAGGCUUUAUUUCAAACGUAUUAGCAGCAAUCGUUGGCCUGGUAAUACUCGAUUGUAGCUAAGUCACUUUAGGAGUGGCAAAGUCCCGUAACGCUUUCUGGUCUUCGGCAGCCAUUAUUUCUUCUUCUUCUUUCUCAAAACUCUCGAAGUUUCCCCUUGUGUAUCUAAUCCACUUACUUAGCAUUUGAAACCAUUUCUCGAUAUCGUCCUCAAAAGGAAGAAAGCCUGGGUUUUUGGACC
rnacentral:lncRNA from 1 species